rnacentral:rRNA from 1 species
UUCGGGCCUUGCGCUAAUAGAUGAGCCUAAGUCGGAUUAGCUAGUUGGUGGGGUAAAGGCCUACCAAGGCGACGAUCUGUAGCGGGUCUGAGAGGAUGAUCCGCCACACUGGGACUGAGACACGGCCCAGACUCCUACGGGAGGCAGCAGUGGGGAAUAUUGGACAAUGGGGGGAACCCUGAUCCAGCCAUGCCGCGUGUGUGAAGAAGGCCUUUUGGUUGUAGAGCACUUUAAGCGAGGAGGAGGCUACCGAGAUUAAUACUCUUGGAUAGUGGACGUUACUCGCAGAAUAAGCACCGGCUAACUCUGUGCC